ensembl:lncRNA
UUUUCAACAUAAACUUCUCUUAAAGAAGAGAUUUGAGCUCUACCAGUGCUGGUCUAGGCUUUUACCAGCUCAUUAUUCGUUAUUAAAUGCACAAACCCAAAGCAAACUCAACAGUACUGACAAAAUGCUGUCUUGUUUCCCUGACUAAUGUAGAACUUAAAGGAGAGAACUUCAUACUGAUUUUCAACCAGUUACAAAAACACAUAUGCUGAGAUUUUCCUGUGUUUUGGUUUGAAAUAAUUUAGAAAUCUGUGAAUAAUUCCCUCUUCCCCUUGUGAACUUCUGCUGGUUCUUUCAGCAUUUAAUUGAAGGUUUCAGAAGCCUUGGUUGCCUUUCAAUGCCUGCUAGAUAAAACUGAAAGGAAAAUGUGGCCUCUUGUUUCUUCCACGAAAGACUAAGUGUGCACCUCAGGGAGGAACAGAAAGCCCCUUUCUUUUCAACUCCUUUCGUGCGCACAUUUGACUUUGAUUUGGAGGAGUUUUAAUCUCCCUUUCUGAACCAUAACCUGACCCUGCCUUUUGAGAGCUGGGAAAUAUUUGGGGUCCCAGGAACAGAAAUAAGCAUUCUACUUCGUAGCCUCUGCCUCACUGUAAGGUGAGGCCUUGCUCAAGCCUCCCUCUGGGCCUCGACCUGCAGAGUCUUAGGCUGAAUUUAGCUAGGUUUGCCUAUUUAAGGACUUACAGAUAUGAGUCUCUUGUUCUUGGAAUGAAAUAUGCUGCAGGAGGAAUAACGGAGAGAGGUGAUUUACUCCUGCUCUUGUCUACAUUCAUGCACCAUGGAGCUGAGGCUGUGCAGGGAGGACAGCAGGACCGUGCUGAGGCUCCGGUCCACAUGCGACCUCCAAAAGUGUGCAGCAACAUAACAAAUGGGCAGUAGAGCUCAGAGCUUUCCAGAUGUAACACAUGCUAAUAAAUUUACAUCUCCAAGUGGCGAGGACGUGAUUGCUGUCUCUGAGACGAGGCUUCCUCCAUGUUCCGUGCGAGCAGCUCACUCUUUACCCAGACACUUCAGUUUUUCUAACUGGCUGUUCAUUGUGGACUCUGAGUUACUACAUGACCUGAAGAACAGUGUGAGGACAUCAGAAGGAGAAAUGUGUUAAAAUCUGGAAAACGGUGUUGUUCAGUUCAGACAUGGACAUCAUUCUGCCUCUCUGUGUUAGUUCCUUGCAGAGAAAAUAUAUCUAAAUAUAAAUAUACCCUUUUAAAAAAUUACUACUCCUCCUUCCCAAUACCUUCUUUUAAAGGAUUCUGUGUCUUAAUAAACUA